GUGGGGAAUAUUGGACAAUGGGCGAAAGCCUGAUCCAGCCAUGCCGCGUGAUAGAUGAAGGCCCUCUGGGUUGUAAAUAUCUUUUAUCUGGGAAGAAACUCCUCUAUUCUUAGAGGCCUGACGGUACCAGAGGAAUAAGCACCGGCUAACUCCGUGCCAGCAGCCGCGGUAAUACGGAGGGUGCAAGCGUUAUCCGGAUUCACUGGGUUUAAAGGGUGCGUAGGCGGGUUGAUAAGUCAGUGGUGAAAGCUCCGGGCUUAACUUGGAAACUGCCAUUGAUACUGUCAGUAUUGAAUGUCGUAGAGGUAAGCGGAAUGUUGCAUGUAGCGGUGAAAUGCUUAGAUAUGUUACAGAACACCAAUUGCGAAGGCAGCUUACUAUGCGAUAAUUGACGCUGAGGCACGAAAGCGUGGGGAGCAAACAGGAUUAGAAACCCUUGUAGUCC
rnacentral:rRNA from 1 species